rnacentral:rRNA from 1 species
GAUGAACGCUGGCGGCGUGCCUAACACAUGCAAGUCGAACGGGUGUGGUAUCAGGGAAAAGGGGUUUACUUCUUUGACCAGAUAACACACUAGUGGCGGACGGGUGAGUAACGCGUGGAUAACCUGCCUUAUACAGGGGGAUAACAGGGAGAAAUUCUUGCUAAUACCCCAUAGGUAUGUCUGACGCAUGUUGGACAUAUUAAAGCUUUGGCGGUAUAAGAUGGGUCCGCGUCUGAUUAGCUAGUUGGUGGGGUAAAGGCCCACCAAGGCGACGAUCAGUAGCCGGCUUGAGAGAGUGGACGGCCACAUUGGGACUGAGACACGGCCCAAACUCCUACGGGAGGCAGCAGUGGGGAAUAUUGCACAAUGGGGGAAACCCUGAUGCAGCGACGCCGCGUGAAGGAAGAAGGUCUUCGGAUCGUAAACUUCUAUCAGCAGGGAAGAAGGAAGUGACAGUACCUGAGUAAGAAGCCCCGGCUAACUACGUGCCAGCAGCCGCGGUAAUAGUA